rnacentral:lncRNA from 1 species
AGAGCUGCAACUGACUUGACGCCGGAGACCGCUGCUUCCCCUGCUCAAGCAUUCAAGUGAAUCUGGCACCCAGGAAUAACAAUGAGAAAGCACAAAGACCACCACUUCAGCCUGGUGUUCACGAUGGACAUGGGCCAGAGGAGUUUGGCGUUACAGACGGCAGCCCUUCACACAGAAGGUGCAACCACUGUCACUGUGCACCUCAUCGGUGGCCUGUCCACCCACCCGGGAAGCUUGAGAUUGCAUCAAGGAAGCAGAGCCCUCCACACGGGACACGGCCGCAGAGAAGCACCCAGAACUCUGCCCACCCUCACCAC